AAUAACUGGAAAUUUUCCAUUGAAAUAAAAUUGAAAAUCAAUUGAAAUAGCAGUUAUCAUUGAAAUACCAGUAUUUUAUCAGUGAUUUGCUUUUGGGGCUCAUUAGAACAGUUAUUUCAUGACCAUUGAAAUACCUGUUUUUGGAUAAAUAUACUUUCAAUACCUUAAAUUUACCAGUGAAACACAAGUUUUUCUUAAAACUUGAUAAUCAAUGCUAUAAAUAUACAUUGUUAUACCAGUUAAUUUCUAUUACAGUUUUUCUGUUUUCAAUGGUGAAGCAUAUCUUAGUCUAGUCAAUCUAAAAGUUAUAUAAAAGUUUCCAUCCUCUAAACCUUUCAUCAGAAAUUGAUAUUGAUAUAAUUGAUCACAAAUUUUCCCUGAGACAGGGACUUUUGGACCAAGGUCAUUUUGGAAAGGUAAAGGUCAAUCGGAACAUAUACCUUAUGUAAGUAAAAGUUUUGGAAGUUAUGAAUGAAUAUUGACACCAAAAUAAUCCCCCCCCCCCCCCCCCCCCCCCCCCGUAAAAUUAAAAAAAAAAAUUCUAGUUAAUAAUUCUCAAAAACACGGCAACCCCCCCCCCCUCAUCCUUCAUUUAAAAUGAUUCUGCGUAUCAACGUAGUAACCCCCCUCCCCCAAAUGCAACGUACUUUAUAAUGGGUGGCUCCCCCCUCCCCCGGCCACUCUUUUUUAUUUUUGUAGUAGUGAGUGGGAAGAUUAGGUAGAGGUUAUGAGUAUUGGCCCCAUUUAUUAAGUGACUCUCUCUCUCUCACGCUAUAUGAUUUUCAAAGAAGUCGAUAUCGAGAAUAUUAAAAUCUGGUAGAUCCCCCCUCUGAAAAAACAGUAGAUUAAAUAGAUAUCGGUAAAUCGGCUGUUUCUUUCGACACGAUUCCUGGAUCCGCCCUUGAUCCUCUCGCUUCUUCAGGAUGCUGAUCGCGCAGACUCCACAUGACGUCAUUUAAGGCAUUUGAAUUUCUUUCAACGCGGAGUGUUGGACGAGUGAAUAUAAUUGAUCAACAUUUUUGCAGCGAUAUAUUAUACCGAUGACAGGAAAAUAGAAGUGGUCCAUUCUAAGAAGUGAAUCGGUUGGAAAAUGCAAACAAACAUUCACAACUUUCAACUUGUUGUAUAGAGACUGUGACAAAAUGUAAGCUACUUGAUGAUGCGUGGGGCGGGAGAGUUGGAUUCAGAGACAUGAUGUCGACUACGAUGUGUGUAAACAAAGGUAAGCAUUUCUUUCGUAUAAAUUUCAAGUCCAAUCACAUGGGCCUGUCACGAAUUUGAUCCUUCUCUAUAUAGACUAUACAAUAAAUUAUAGUGCGGGGGCCUAAAUUUUGCAGCCCUUCACCGGCAAUGGUGACGUCUCGAGAGGGAAGUAAAACAUAGCGCAGAUUUCAAUUCACUGCGAUGAUUUACAUGGAUGUCGUUAGAAGAAAAUAUCGAGAUUAAAGAUGUGUUUCUUAAUUAGAUCUUAGGAGUCUGCAGUUUUAUCUGUAAGGGUGUACAAUAUAAAUAACAAACACUAAGCUCUUCGCGAUCGAAGCAACAGGAAUGUAACCCAAUUUUGGCAAAACACAACACGCGGCCCGGUAUGAUUUAACUAAAUAUGACAGUGGAAAUGUCCCACCUGAUUUCUGGAACGACCACGGUAAAUAACGUUGACAAUUUUGAUUUAAGAAACAUCACAAUGUGUAAUAUACAUAAUAUAUUUUUGAAAAUGCAUAUUUCUAGACUGUCCUGACUACAAUUUUAUUUCUACAUGUUACAUAAAUGUGGGGAAAAAUACUCGUCUUAUGAUUCUUCUUUUAUUUUAUUUUUUAUUUUUGUAGAUUAAGCUUGAUGAAUCCUACAACCUGUUAAUAGAUGCGAGCAAGAUUACCAGGCGGCGCCGGACUUGGACUUGUUGCUGCAUUAUUUUACUCCGACAUAUCUGGCAGCACACUCGACAGCAAAUAGAAUACUAUACUGCUAAUUCAAGAAUACUUACAAAAGCAGUUCAAAUGUGAUAAUGCCACACCCCUCAUAAAAAGAAAAUGCUUGGACAUUGCCAGAAGCCCGAAAUUGAUUGAUUCAGUGUUGCAAUGAAUUUAUAGGACGUGUACUAGACAUGAAAUCUGCAAAAUGGACUUUUCCUUGUUGUGCCUACAUUUCUUAAAUGUUAACUGUAGCACACUCGUGCUUGUUGCUCCAAUGGAAGCAGCCAUUUGGGGCAUAGUAAGAUCCAGAUUGGACCAGAAACAAUUUUUGUUCCGGAAUUUAAAAGCAGUCGGGGGUUUUGAGUCCAGGUCGGUCGGGCAACGGGAAACGGACAUAAACUUGAAGAAACAGGCUUUAGAGGAAUACACCAAGAAAAUGUAAAAAUGUGAAAGAAAUUUGUAUUUAUGACAUAAUACAUUUUGAUGUAUGCUUUCAUCAUUUUGUUGAUGGCAGUGAUCAACUGUUGAAUGUUCAAGUCCAGUUUUAUAUUUUCUUAAACAAUGUUGUAGAAUAAGCAGUAAAAAGACUGUGCAUUUACCUGAUCAUGUACCAUUUGCUUUUCAACUUUCUAUGUAUGUGUUUUUUGCUUCAUUCUAUUUUGUACAAUUCAUGAGUUUGCAUAGAACAUGAGUUGGCACACAUGUGGAAAUUUGUUUUAUUGGUAUUUCAAAUGCCAAGUACAAAAUAAUUUGACCUGUAGUGGGUUGUGAAAACAAAAAAUUGAUUCUAUUUUUCUUUAUUGUUAUAUUUGUAUUUCAUAACAUUGUCAACAAAAUUUCAUUAAGCAGUUUUUCCUGUUAAUAGUAAAUAAUUAAAAAAAAAAAAAAAAAGAUUUUUCAAUGGAUUUUUAAUGUAUAUUUAUGAACUAUUAUUUAUUUUUCCAUUGAUUUUACAGUUAAUUUUGAUGUCAUUUAACUGGCUCAAGCUCAUUUACAUAUUUCGCUUAUUUCAAUGAGGUUUCAAUUGAGUCUCAAUGGAGUUUCACUGUAUUUUCAAUGAAAACUGGAAAAUCACUGGCUCAAGCUCAUUUACAUAAUUCACGUAUUUCAAUGAGGUUUAAAUUGAGUCUCAAUGGAGUUUCACUGCAUUUUCAAUGAAAACUGGAAAAUCAAUGCUUUUUCUAGGUUUGAAUUGUAUUGCUAGUUUUAUUUGAAUUUGUGAUACUGGUAUAACACUGUUCUUUCAAUGGUCAGAAUAAAACUACAAAAGUAAUGGAAA